UGGGUGCGUUCUUGUUUUUCUGCUAUUAAUUAGCAAAAAUGACACGCUUGCUGUGCUGCCGUGUGCUAAGAGCCCUUUAGCCGGGACUAUAAACGGAAUCAAAAACUACGCAGAAAUCAGUUUAUUUUAGCUUACUACAGAAAAACGUAGAAAACACAGUAAUGCGCGCACAGAGGGCCUUGUACGAAGUUACCGCUGUAUUGUUACAGGUAAUUUUCUAUCUAAUCUUCGCAUGCAUGCAGUUCUGAAGACUUGUACUGUAUUUAUUGUCUAGCUUUCCUCGGUGAAAAUGGCCAAGAGAAAAGAGCUAUCUGUGGAUAUCAGAAAAAAAAUCAUUGCCAAACAUAAAAAACUAAAAGGCUACAAAUCCAUUUCGAAAGACCUUGGUGUUCCUGUCUCAACAGUUCGCAAUGUUAUCAAGAAAUUUGCAGCCCAUGGGACAGUAUUGAACCAAGCAGGACGUGGGCGUAAGAGGAAAAUUGAUCAGAAGUCUCUGCGACGGCUGGUGAGAACUAUUAAAAAAACACCAUGUGCAACUGUUGAAGACUUAAAGGUUGACCUUGAGAGAUCUGGAACAGUAGUGUCCGCUACCACUGUCCGCAGGGCUCUAAAUCAGGAAGGGUUAUGUGGCUGCAGGGGCCUGUUCUUGAAAAGGACACAAAAAGGGCAGCCUGAACUAAAAAAAAAAAAAAAAAAAAAAAAAAAACCUUAAACUAGCCUAAGGCUUCCCAGAAAAAUGUUCUACAGACGAACAAAUGUUCCAUUUGCUCCAGAGCUAUUGAAAUAAAUCAGAGGACAGAUAAAGAGCUCACAGAGUAAAUGUUAUACACAAAUCCAGAAGUUAAGAGGGAUCCUCAAAAAUCGAAAUGAUGCAAGAAGUAGCUGAGGAGAUGACUGACGUUAGGUCAUCCACAGCAUGGCCAAGUUUCUCCUCUUCUCCCAGCCCAGUUUUGGUCCUGUUCUCCCUACUGCUAAUUGCUUUUUUGUUGUCUUCCACAUUGAUUUGAACCAUGAUCAUUUUUACAGUCUGAGCAUUGCUGUGCUAAUUUUACAAACUAAAUGAUAUGCAUUUACUAGUGGUUAGAAGUCCAUUGAUUUCUUCAGAGGACCAAAAUGGAUGCGUGAAUAACCACUGAAUGUGAUGGUAUCACAGCAGCUUUGUCCUGUCUACUAACUGCCCUGUGUGACCUAGGGCCUGUAUCAUGAAGCAAGGUUUGUUGGUUAGCUAGAUAACUUGUUGGAUUUAAGGUAUGCCAGUUUAAAUGAAGUUUAUCUUCACUCACUUACAUUUGCUCCAAACUACCUUAAGUCUGACAAGUUAUCAAGCUAAGCAAGAAAUCCUGUUUCAUGAUACAGACCCCAGGGUGAUUAUGAUUAUUACUUAUUGCUGUUGUUACCUCUACAUGUAUCGUACACUUUAACGAUUUAACUUAAUUGGGAAUGUCUGUACUGCAGAUAUUGUUACGGAUCAUUUGGUGGUCUUUAUAAAUGCACUACAGGAGACUUUAGUAGAAAGAACUUUUCUUUUUUUCCCCUUUUUAGUCCGUUUUACUGCAGAUAGUUCACAAAUCAAGUCCUUUUCAGGAAAUGACAUUGCCCACUAGAUGGCUCCCUUCCUGUAUGUAUAAUAUCAACAAGCUUGGCUUACAACAGGAUUCCUGGCUAGCAGUUCACUGGAAUCAGUAAAUAAAACAUUCGCAAGAGGUGCUGUCAUUUAACUACAGAAUUCAUCAAUGUUUUGUAUGUCACAGAGAGCUAAUAUUUAGACAUUCCUCUUGAAAAUGUUGAAAUUUUAAUUUGUUGUGCUUAAUGGUUGGCAUAAAUGGAAUGAUCAAUGACAAAGUAUCCCAUGUAGUCUACAGGUCAGAAAUGAAUGUACAACAUUUCAUUUCUUAGCAAAGAUGCAAAAUAUAAAAAAAUGUCAAAAUAAGGAUACAAAGACAGUACUGUUUGAUCCAUCCAUUUUCUGUACCUGCUUGUCCUAUUCAUGGUUGCUGGGGGUUUGGUGCCUACAGGUAAAAUGCAGGGAACAACCCAGGAUGGGGCACCUACCUAUUGCAAGACACACACACUCCCCAAUUACUCUCAGCAUGUUUUUGGCCUAUGAGGAAACUGAAGAACCAGGAGGAAACUCCAUGACAACAUAGCAGGGAAUAUUCAAACUCCACACACAUGGAGCCAUGGCAGAGACUUGAACCCAGGUCCCAGAGGUGUGAGGCAACAGUGCUAACCACUGCAUCACCAUGCCACCUCCCUGCAUAGCUGUAUGUUCCUGCCCCCCAGGGUGGCUGGGCAGAGUUCCUGUGUAUGUGGCCGUUAGCUUAUUGAAUGCCGCAGAAACCCCCAGUUCGGUGGUGUGAGGUGUGCACUGCUGCUCGGGAUGACUGACCACUGCCACUGUGUUCCUCCUACAUGCCCCCCCUCCCUUUAAUAUCCAUCAUUUCCUACAGUUAUCAAGGACCUUGACUUCCUUUGUUUGUGUGAAGGUGUAGCAUCACUCAGUUAUAUAUUUCACCUCUGUGAAGAAGAAAAUGUAACAGUACUUGUAAAAGCUGCUGUUGAGAUGGCACCGGUGUGUCCCCAGUCAGCCUCGUCACCCCCACCAUCUGAUCCCUACUCCUCACACUCCACCAACCUGGAUAAUCUCCAAAAUUACUGGAUUGAUUAACUGGUAAUGUGAAAACCAAUAAAUGUGUUUUUACCAGAA